rnacentral:misc_RNA from 1 species
UUUCUUUCUCUCUUCUUCUUCUCUCUUUCUCUUACUUUUUGGAGCGGAGAGUUAAGUUCGUGGUGUGUAGAAUCUGAAUUGAAGAAGGAGGAGUCCCUCUGAUUGAAAGCAUGGAUUGGCAACCGGAUCCCGCGGGCCUCAAUCAAAUUCUUUCUUUACUUCGCGAGUCUCAAAGUCCGGAUACAUCUGUUCAACGGAGCGUUCAGAAGAAGCUAGAAGAACUGAACGGUUACCCGGACUUUAAUUCCUAUCUCAUCUUUGUUCUGACGAAGCUGGGAAACGAGGACGAGGCCACUCGGUCCCUCUCUGGACUCAUCCUCAAAAACAAUGUUAAGGUUCACCUCAACUCCUUCCCCAAGGAAGUGACGGACUUUAUCAAGACGGAAUGUUUGAACGCCGUGGGCGACCCCUCUCCACUCAUUCGGGCCACCGUUGGCAUCUUGAUCACCACGAUAGCUUCCAGAGGAGAUCUCUCUCAAUGGCCGGAUCUUUUGCCAACUCUGUGCCAAAUGUUGGACUCUCCGGACUACAACAGCUGCGAGGGGGCAUUUGGAGCAUUGUUAAAGAUAUGCGAGGAUUUGGGAGAACUCCUCGACUCAGAAGAACUCAAUAGGCCAUUAAAUAUAUUGAUCCCAAAGUUUCUUCAAUUUUUUAAACAUACGAGUCCCAAAAUACGAUCCCAUGCAAUCGGUUGUGUCAACCAAUUUAUCAUUGGUAGAGUUCAGGCUCUCAUGGUUCAUAUCGAUGCUUUCAUCGAAAAUUUAUUUUCUUUGGCAGACGAUAGUGAUCCCAUAGUAAGAAAAAAUAUUUGUCGAGCUAUUGUAAUGCUAUUGGAAGUGAGAAUGGAUAGAUUGAUUCCUCACAUGAACAAUAUCAUUGACUAUAUGCUUCAGAGAACUCAAGAUUCUGAUGAAGGUGUAUCUCUUGAAGCAUGCGAAUUUUGGCUCUCCCUAGCAGAUGAAUCAGUUUGUAGAGAAGCUUUGCUUCCCCAUUUAGAUAAAUUGAUUCCAGUUUUAGUGAGAGGAAUGAAAUAUUCUGAAAUUGAUAUUAUACUCCUUAGAGGGGACGUGGAAGAAGAUGAAAUGAUACCUGAUCGAGAAGAAGACAUACGACCUCGGUUCCAUAGAUCUAGGAGUCAUCAUUCAGGAGGAAACGAAGACGAGGAAGAUGAUGGAUCAUUGGACAAUGAUGAGGAUUUAUCAGAUUGGAAUUUAAGAAAGUGUUCUGCCGCUGCUCUAGACGUAUUAGCUUCGGUUUUCCGGGACGAACUUCUUCCCGUUUUGCUACCUAUCCUUAAGGAGACACUCUUCCAUCAGGAAUGGGAAAUAAAGGAAUCUGGUAUUUUAGCUCUGGGUGCCAUAGCUGAAGGUUGCAUGUCUGGGAUGAUACCUCAUCUUCAUGAACUUAUACCAUACUUGAUUAAUUGCCUGUCCGACAAAAAAGCACUUGUUAGGUCUAUAACAUGUUGGACACUAUCUAGAUAUUCACAUUGGGUUGUGAAUCAGCCUCAUGAAUCUUAUUUGAAACCCUUGAUGUCUGAGCUUCUAAAGCGCGUAUUGGAUUCCAAUAAACGGGUUCAGGAAGCAGCAUGUUCAGCUUUUGCAACUUUAGAAGAAGAAGCAUGUACAGAAUUAGUUCCCUACCUUGGGUUCAUUUUAGAAACUCUGGUUUUUGCUUUCCAAAAAUAUCAACAUAAGAAUCUGCUUAUACUUUAUGACGCAAUAGGUACAUUGGCAGACUCAGUUGGACAUCAUUUGAAUAAAUCAGAAUAUAUAAAUCUAUUGAUGCCUCCUCUGAUUGAAAAGUGGAAUGCACUGAAAGACGAGGACAAAGAUCUAUUUCCAUUGCUGGAAUGUUUGUCUAGCGUAGCUACAGCACUUCAAGAAGGUUUUCUUCCAUAUUGCGAACCUGUCUAUCGUAGAUGUGUUAGUUUAGUAGAACAGACACUAAACCAACAUAUGGCUUACAUGCAAAAUCCUAACCAUCUUGAUCAAGCUGAUAAGGAUUUCAUGAUAGUAGCAUUAGAUCUUUUAUCUGGACUAGCUGAAGGAUUGGAUACGCACAUUGAGAGUUUGGUGGCAUCUUCUAAUAUAAUGCAGCUUCUAUACCAAUGUAUUCAAGAUUGUAUGCCUGAAGUGCGACAAAGCUCAUUUGCUCUACUUGGUGACUUGACAAAGGCGUGCUUUAUUCAUUCAGUGAGCCCAUGCAUACCUAAUUUCAUGCCUAUUUUGGCUCGCAAUUUGUUCACAGAUCAUAUUAGUGUUUGUAACAAUGCUACUUGGGCAGCCGGUGAAAUUUCUGUCAAGUUAGGAGCAGAUAUGAAGCCCUACAUACCAAUGUUAUUAGAGCCCCUUGUAAAUAUUAUAAAUCGGCCAAAUACUCCGAAAACAUUGCUGGAAAAUACAGCUAUUACAAUUGGACGUAUGGGAUUUGUAUGUCCUCAUGAAGUUGCGCCAAGUCUCAAUGAGUUUGUUAGGCCAUGGUGUACAUCCUUGAGAAAUAUUCGCGAUAAUGAUGAAAAAGAUUCUGCUUUCAGAGGAAUGUGUCAGAUGAUUUCUGUAAAUCCUGGAGGAGUUGCUUCAGAUUUUAUAUUUUUCUGUGAUGCAGUUGCAUCUUGGCAGAACCCACAUCCUGAUUUGAAGGAUAUGUUUCAGAAAAUAUUACAAGGAUUUAAAACUCAAGUUGGCACAGAAGCGUGGGAUAGAUUCUCGGUUCAGUUUCCAUCUCCAUUGAAGGAGCGUUUGACUGCCAACUAUGGAGUAUAAUUGGGGGAAUCAUAAAACUUAGUUAUAUAGGAUUAUUGUCUCUCACCAUUUUGAUUCGAAGAAGAUAUUCAGCUAAUGAACUGAAAUUGUUAAAAACUUUUUCUCUGAUUAAAAAAAAAAGACAAGAAUGAAACCAAUUUUUCCCUUUCUUCAUGGACAAAGUGUGUUAAAUAACAAGACCUGUUAGAUUAUUCUUUCAAUAUUGUUUUCUAAGUGGCUAUUUUUUUUUAUUAUUAUUAAAAGAGAAAUGUUAAAUUUUGUGAGUUUAGUUAUGUGUGCUCAAAACAACAAACUUUGGCCCUGCAUGCAAAAGAAAAGAAAUGCCCGAAUAAAAGAACAACUGGAGUGUGUAUGCUAAACUUAAGUUUUCUUCUCUGACCGGAUUAAUUUGUAAACAUAUACUUACUUUUUUAAGAAAUCAUAAGAAAAUACGUACGCAUUUGUAUUUUUUUGAAAUUUUUUUCCUCCUUGCUCUAUAUUAAAAAUCGCAUUUAACUUAAAUAUAUAUAUUUUUUUUCUAGGAUGAAAUACGCAAUAUUAUUUUUUUUCCCUGUGGAGUUUUCAAAGUUGCAAGAUAUGUUUCUGUUUUUAAAUUAUUUACUCCCAGUUUUUAACUUAUUUAGUCGAAGUUUAUAUCAAAUCUUGUUCUUUUUUUUUUCUUGUCUUUCUUGCUGCAAUUUAAAUAAUUUAAUAUAAAAAAAGACAAGCUCUUGGUAAAUUUAGUUCAAAUAUACUUUUUCUCCCCAUUCACACUAUUGUCGCAGUAACUGUUAUCUUUUUUUUAAAAUAUAAAUAUAUACGCAAAUCUGCUUUAGAAAUGAACUAUUUUUUUACACAUAAUAACGAAAUAUGAGCUUUUUUUUGGUCGAUUUUUUAGACUAAUUAUAGGUAGAAAAUGCAAAAGUUAAUUGUACUUAGUUUGAAAUUUGGUAAUGAGGCAUUUAAUGUAAAACUUCCUCACCCUGUUAUGACUCGUUAAUUAAUCACAAUGGAGGAAUUAUUUCUUACAUUACAUUUAACUCUUUAUACAUAUAUAAUUACACCCUCACACAAUCAAAACAAAAACCAACAACCGAAUGACCACCACUACCACCAUCAUUAUAAUUAUAUUAAUAAUAACCCUUUGUUAAUUACUUAAAUUCACUUUUUCUUUGAAUUUAUGUUGUCCUCUUAAUCAUCAUCAUCACUUGUGUAAAUAAAACAUGGGUAACAAUAA